rnacentral:misc_RNA from 1 species
CCAACCACUUCCUAUUCGUUUCUAUUAACAUUUUUUUUUUUUUGUUUUUAGUAACACUGUUGAUUUGAAACGAAAACAUGAUACUAAAAGGAAUAUCGCUUUAAAAGUAUUAAUUUCACUGUGAACAUUUCUAUACAUUUGAAAUAAUAACGAGGCCAAUUCAAUGGACAUGCAUUAAUUCACGCACGGACACUUUUUAUACCAUACUCUUGAUUGUUUUUGUCUGCUAUAUUUACUGCAAAGAAAACUAUCUGGACAACAUAAGCUGUUUAUGUUCAUAAAUAUAUUUACGAAUUCACCACUGAUUGCCCUUGCUGGAGUUUGUUUACCUGCCAUAUUCAAGUAGUAACAAAAAAAAAAAAUUACUGAGUAGGUUGCAUGGGCAAAGUUAUUUCCGUGAAAUAGCGAAACGGUUGGUGCGCAUAUGAAACCCAUACAAAGCAGUCGAGGAAAUGAAAAAACUUAAACACACUUGCUUAGAUAUAAAGAACAGUUGCUACAUUAUAUAGAUUUUAUUGCAAGUUAUUUAUUUGAAAUUUUUUCGAUUGUUGAUUUGGUGAAUACAUCAGAAAAAAAAAACCUCUACAUUUUGUUUCGCUGUACAUUUUGUGAUAUAGUUACCACCGACAACCAUGUUAGCUGACCCUGUGGAGACUGUCGGACAUUUGAGUUUCACCACUCGACCAAAGCGUCUUAGAAUUUGUGGUGAUGGCAGUACCUACAAUCAUCGACAUAACGAUGUUAGCGGAUCUGGUUGUAAAACCUUAGAAUUACAGGGUGUUAUUGAUCUUCUCAAACAAUACGAUGACUACGAAGGUGGCGUCAACUGCAGUAUUUGCGGUAAACUCUACAAGAGCAAAGUAUGUUUCAUUAAGCACAUUUGGGAACACAGCAUCUACUGGGACCUCUUUGAAGGUGAAAAGAACCACGAUAGAGUCCUUUCCAUACAGGCAGCUAUCAUCCUUUACAGUAAAUACCAAGGAGAACCGACAGCCGACGGGUUGCUGUCCCACCUGUUGGUCACAGCUCCUAACAGCCACGAAAAGAAACGAGAGAAAGAGUCUCUUGAGCAGUGCGAAAUGAAAGCUUCAAAGGCGAAAACAGAGAAGAGGACAUUGUCUCCUUUGAAACGAAAGAAGUCCUUUGAAGAUUUGUAAGUAACAGCCAUAGAGUAAUUUUUCAAUUUAAGGUAAAUGGGAAAAAUUUGAAGGAAAAUUGUUUGUUGAAAACAACUGUUGGCUGAUGGAUUAAAUUAUCUGUCAGCAUUUUUGUCCCUUUUUUUUUCUGAAUUUUCAUAUAAUUUUUCAUCCCUCUGGGAUUAAAAUGAAUACCGGUGGUAAUGUAUUAGUCAAUUCAAUUGACUAUGCUAAGUUAACCUUUUUUUUUCUUGAGUAAAUAGUUUCUGAUCAGGAUGCCCACAUAAGUUGGAAUUUUUCUGUUUUGAUGGGGAUUUUUCAGAUUUUUUUUUCUCCUUCUUGACAACACCCUUGGAAAUGAUCUUUUGAGCAAAAAGAAGAAGAAACGUCCCCCAUCAUUUCCAAGAGUUUUGGUUAAAAACAAAUCUGAAAAAUACCUGGCAAAACGGAGAAAUUCCACUUACAUAGGUAUCCUGAUCCGAAACUCCAUCCCCAAGUUUCAUUAAUACCAAAACAAUCAAAAACCACUAAAACUACACUAUCAUUACAUUUUUACCAUGAAAACCACACCAUCACUGCAAUCAAAACUAUAUUCUAUCGCUACCUUAUCAUCUUCAUGAAUGAAGACUUCUAUGAAA